rnacentral:rRNA from 1 species
GACAGAGGGUGCCAACGUUGUUCGGAAUUACUGGGCGUAAAGCGCGUGUAGGCGGCUUGUGCAAGUCGGGUGUGAAAGCCCCAGGCUCAACCUGGGAAGUGCAUUCGAUACUGCGAAGCUGGAGUCCCGGAGAGGGUGGUGGAACUCUCGGUGUAGAGGUGAAAAUUCGUAGAGAUCGAGAAGAACACCGGUGGCGAAGGCGGCCACCUGGACGGAGACUGACGCUGAGACGCGAAAGCGUGGGAGCAAACAGG